CCCUUUCUUAAUUUAUUUUAACUUUCACAUUCAAGGCCGAGUUCCAAAUUAAUCUACAAAAAUGGAUAAUCAAAUAUUUCCUUAAAACAAGAGAUCUAAAAUUUUCAUUUGUUACCUUACACCUCCAAGUAUUUGAUGUUUAUCCGGUUAAUGGGAUUUUUUUUUUGCGACUUUUUAAUGCAGUUGCUCGAAAUUGUUUCUUCACAUUUGUUCCAAAUGACUUUAGGCAAGCAGAAAUUGGUACGACUGGAGAAAGGAUCCCCGCGGAGUUCCGACCCCCCUUUUGUCUUAUCCUCCUGGUUGGGGGCUGUUGAGUUCGAUGGUGAAGGUUCCGUGCGUGGGAAGUGCCCCG
rnacentral:lncRNA from 1 species